rnacentral:tRNA from 1 species
CAGAUUGUAGCUUAUUAAUUAAAGCUUAUUUUUUACAUUAAUAUGAAGGUAUUUAAAUUUAUUCUGUCUGA